rnacentral:rRNA from 1 species
GCGAGUAACACGUACUUAACUUGCCCCUAAGAUGAGAAAAACUAAUAGAGAUAUAGCUAAUUCUCAAUAUGCUCACGAUGGUGAAAUUCCGAUGUGAGGAAAGAUUUAUCGCUUAGGGAGGAGGGGUGCGUCCUAUCAGGUAGUUGGUGGGGUAACAGCCUACCAAGCCAAUGACGGGUAACCGGUCUGAGAUGAUGUCCGGUCGCGAUGGGACUGAGAUACGGCCCAUACUCCUACGGGAGGCAGCAGGUGGGGAAUAUUGCACAAUGGAACGAAAGUCUGAUGCCAGCGAUUACGCGUGAAGGAUGAAGCAUUACGGUGUGUAAACUUCUUUUUUGGUGGAAGACGAAUGACGGUACACCAAGAAUAAGAGACGGCUAACUACGUGCCAGCCGCAGC